UACGUAGGGGGCAAGCGUUGUUCGGAAUUACUGGGCGUAAAGGGCGCGUAGGCGGCACAGCAAGUCGGGAGUGAAAGCCCGGGGCUCAACCCCGGAAUGGACUUCGAAACUGCUGAGCUAGAGUACAGAAGGGGCAACCGGAAUUCCCAGUGUAGCGGUGAAAUGCGUAGAUAUUGGGAAGAACACCUGAGGCGAAGGCGGGUUGCUGGGCUGAUACUGACGCUGAGGCGCGAAAGCCAGGGGAGCAAACGGGAUUAGAGUAC
rnacentral:rRNA from 1 species